GAUGAACGCUGGCGGCGUGCUUAACACAUGCAAGUCGAACGAAGCACUUUAUUUGAUUUCCUUCGGGACUGAUUAUUUUGUGACUGAGUGGCGGACGGGUGAGUAACGCGUGGGUAACCUGCCUUGUACAGGGGGAUAACAGUUGGAAACGGCUGCUAAUACCGCAUAAGCGCACGGCAUCGCAUGAUGCAGUGUGAAAAACUCCGGUGGUAUAAGAUGGACCCGCGUUGGAUUAGCUAGUUGGUGAGGUAACGGCCCACCAAGGCGACGAUCCAUAGCCGACAUGAGAGGGUGACCGGACACAUUGGGACUGAGACACGGCCCAAACUCCUACGGGAGGCAGCAGUGGGGAAUAUUGCACAAUGGGGGAAAGCCUGAUGCAGCGACGCCGCGUGAGCGAAGAAGUAUUUGGGUAUGUAAAGCUCUAUCAGCAGGGAAGAUAAUGACGGUACCUGACUAAGAAGCACCGGCUAAAUACGUG
rnacentral:rRNA from 1 species